rnacentral:lncRNA from 1 species
UUGGCCAGGAGAUCUUCCAUAGCAUCUACAAACCUGUUAGCAUGCCUUGGUGGGCAUCCAGCAGGUAGAUCGUUUGGAGAAGUCAUUUUAAAAUAUUCCUAUACCUGCACUUGGGGAAUGUGGCCAAAUGCGUUAUCAACAAAACCAACACCACAGCUUCAUCAAUAUCAUCUUUUUCUCCUUUAUUUUCCAUUUUCAACUGCAUUUUGUAGUCAGUUGAUGAAAUUGCAUCUCAUAGCAGAGCCAAGUUCUGGAAAGACUUUCUCAGAUCCUAACCCUGAUAGAGCAAAGCACUCAGGAAAACGCUUUGUUUAA